rnacentral:rRNA from 1 species
GGUGAGUAACACGUGGGAACGUGCCCUUCGGUUCGGAAUAACUCAGGGAAACUUGAGCUAAUACCGGAUACGCCCUUUUGGGGAAAGGUUUACUGCCGAAGGAUCGGCCCGCGUCUGAUUAGCUUGUUGGUGGGGUAACGGCCUACCAAGGCGACGAUCAGUAGCUGGUCUGAGAGGAUGAUCAGCCACACUGGGACUGAGACACGGCCCAGACUCCUACGGGAGGCAGCAGUGGGGAAUAUUGGACAAUGGGCGCAAGCCUGAUCCAGCCAUGCCGCGUGAGUGAUGAAGGCCUUAGGGUUGUAAAGCUCUUUUGUCCGGGACGAUAAUGACGGUACCGGAAGAAUAAGCCCCGGCUAACUUCGUGCCAGCAGCCGCGGUAAUACGAAGGGGGCUAGCGUUGCUCGGAAUCACUGGGCGUAAAGGGCGCGUAGGCGGCCGAUUAAGUCGGGGGUGAAAGCCUGUGGCUCAACCACAGAAUUGCCUUCGAUACUGGUUGGCUUGAGACCGGAAGAGGACAGCGGAACUGCGAGUGUAGAGGUGAAAUUCGUAGAUAUUCGCAAGAACACCAGUGGCGAAGGCGGCUGUCUGGUCCGGUUCUGACGCUGAGGCGCGAAAGC